GCUUCUGUGCUGAUUCAACAGUAAGACUUUCAUUCUUCUGAGUCUACCGAAGCCAGUGUCUGUUCUGAGAAGA